UACAGAGGUCUCAAGCGUUGUCCGGAAUUAUUGGGCGUAAAGAGCUCGUAGGCGGCUUGUUGCGUCGACCGUGAAAACCCGGGGCUCAACUUCGGGCUUGCGGUCGAUACGGGCGGGCUAGAGUUCGGUAGGGGAGACUGGAAUUCCUGGUGUAGCGGUGAAAUGCGCAGAUAUCAGGAGGAACACCGGUGGCGAAGGCGGGUCUCUGGGCCGAUACUGACGCUGAGGAGCGAAAGCGUGGGGAGCGAACAGG
rnacentral:rRNA from 1 species